rnacentral:rRNA from 1 species
UACGUAGGGGGCAAGCGUUGUCCGGAAUCAUUGGGCGUAAAGCGCGUGUAGGCGGCCCGAUAAGUCCGCUGUGAAAGUCCAGGGCUCAACCCUGGAAUGCCGGUGGAUACUGUCGGGCUCGAGUCCGGAAGAGGCGAGUGGAAUUCCUGGUGUAGCGGUGAAAUGCGCAGAUACCAGGAGGAACACCAAUUGCGAAGGCAGCUCGCUGGGACGUUACUGACGCUGAGACGCGAAAGCGUGGGGAGCAAACAGG